GGGUGCGAUUAUACUAGCACUAAUGCACCAGAUCCCAUCAGCACUCCGCAGUGAUGCGCGCGUGGGCGAGAGUAGUACUAGGAUGGGUGACCCCCUAGGAAGUCCUCGUGUUGCACCCU